GCAGGACAUAUCAGCGUGGAACGAAGUGCUUUGGGGCAUGACUGAACAUAUUUAUGUAUAUGUGUACGGCACCAUAGGUCGUCAAGCUCCCAGAUGGCACUGUGGCACCUUUCGGCAUGCAACGAAGUCCCUUCGGAGAAGACUGUAUAUAUUUAUGUAUCUGUGUACAGCGCCAGCAGUACUCAAGCUCCCAAAUGACGCUGCAGGACAUACCAGCGUGGAACGAAGUGCUUUGAGGUAUGACUGUACUUAUUUGUGUAUAUAUUUACGGCGCCAUCAGUCCUCAAGCUCCCAGAUGUGAGCACUUCCGUGAUCUCAUGAAAUUCGCUACAAUCAAGGCUUUUUAAGCUGUAGCACGUCAUGACCACAAGUCCUCGUAAUGGACGUCAGCAAUGCUGCCUUCAUCUGAUUGCAGAGCACUGCGGCACCUUUAGGCAUGCAACGAAGUCCCGUGGGAGGAGAGUGUAUAUAUUUAUGUAUAUAUGCACAGCACCACCAGUACUCAAGCACCUAAAUGACGCUCGAGGACAUAUCAGCGUGCAACGAAGUGCUUUGUGGCAUGACUUUACGUAUUUAUGUAUAUGUGUACGGUGCCAUAUAUCCUUAAGCUCCCAGAUGUGAGCACUUGCGAGAUGUCAUCACAUUCGCUACAUUCAAGGCUUUUUUAGGCUGUAGCGCGUCAUGACCACACAUCCUCGUAAUGGACGUCAACAAUGCUACCUUCAUCUGGCUACAGGGCGCUGUGGUACCUUUCAAGGUGCCACAGCCCCCUGUAAGGCUGCUAAAGAGCGCUGCGGCACCUUUAGGCAUACAACGAAGUCCCGUGGGAGAAGACUAUAUAUUUAUGUAUAUGUGUACAGCGACAGCAGUACUCAAGCUCCCAAAUGACGCUGCAGGACAUAUCAGCGUGAAACGAAGUGCUUUGGGGCAUGACUGUGCAUACUUGUCUGCAUGUGUACGGCGCCACCAGUCCUCAAGCUCCCUGAUAUAAACACUUGCGUGAUGUCAUCACAUUCGCUACAGUCAAGGCUUCUUUUCACUGGCGCGGUGGCACCUUUCGGCAUUCACCGAAGUACCAUGGGGCACGACUGUACAUAUUUAUGUAUAUGUGUACUGCGUCAUCAGUCCUCAAGCUCCCAGAUAACGCUGCGGCACCUUUCGGCAUGCAACGAAGUACCAUGGGGCAUGACUGUACAUAUUUAUGUAUAUACAUGUGUACAGUGCCACCAGUACUCAAGAUCCCAAAUGACGCUGCAGGACAUAUCAUCGUGCAACGAAGUGCUUUAGGGCAUGACUGUACAUACUUGUGUACAUGGGUGCGGCGCCACCAGUCCUCAAGCUCCCUGAUGGCGCUGCGGCACCUUUCGGCAUGCAAGGAAGUCCUUUGGCGCAUGGCUGUACAUUUUUUGUACAUAUAUACGCCUCCAACAGUCCUCAAGCUUCAAGAUGAUGCUGCGCCACCUUUCGGUAUGCAACGAAGUGCUUUGGGGCAUGAAUGUACAUACUUGUGUACAUGUGUACGGCGCCACCAGUCCUCAAGCUUUCUGAUGGCGCUGCGGCACCUUUUGGCAUUCAACAACGUGCCUUGUGGCUUGAGUCAACAUACUUGUGCACAUAUAGG